UAUCUCCUCUGCCAUGUGGACCCAUAGGUAUGGAAGAAUGAAAGGCAUUUGGCAGCUGGAGUUUGGAGGAGCUCUCAACAGGAAACCACACAAGGACAGCUUGGAAUGGAAGGAUCCUAGCUUUGUGCUCUGGGAGAACCCAGUCCCCCAGCGCUCAUCCUGUCACAUGACUGUGUGUAGGUGUGUCCUGAUCAUCUCUAUUAAAUAAGGCUUUCAUGUGACGCAUCAGUGAGUAUCAUGGCUGGUGUGUGUAGCGUUCGUAUCCUGUCACAUGGCUGCUUGGAGGUGUGUCCUGAUCAUCCCUAUUAAAUUUAAGGUAUAUAUUGUUAACUAAGCUUGGGUAAAAUAUAUUAAGCUAUAUAGGUACCGUAUAGCGGGUAUAUUUCGAAACUUUCGCGGAUUUAAUUUUCGUGGAAUAGCAGUAUGCAUGCAUGCGAUAUUAAAUUCGUGGGUAUAAAUGUUCGCGGUACAUGCUUAAUCAGCGAAAACCGCGAACAUUUAUACCCUCGAAAUAUACACGCUAUACGCCAUAACGGUACAUGACAUAUAUGUAUAUACAUGUACAAAUAUGGACCUUUAUAUUUUAACUACCGUAUAUCGUUCCUAUUAAUUUGAUAGCCGAGUGAAACAGAUUAAUGUAUAGAAACUUGGUUGCCCAUGCAUCUAUUCUUGACCAGCAGCCAGUAUCCGUAUCUACUAUAGUAGACUGGCCACUCCCCACAUAAUUUAUGUAGUGUCCGUGUUAGGUUGACUUAGUGUGAACAAAAUGUAUAGAUUGUGUAUACCGUAUAGCGCAAAAUUUUCGAGGGGCUUAAUUUUCACUGCUUUUGUGGGUUAGCAAUCCUACAUGAAAAUUAAGUCCACCGACGAAAAUAGUUCUUUAAUUAGAAUUAUCUGCUAUAACGUGCAA